AAAAAAAAAAAAAAAAAAAAAAAAAAAAAAAAAAAGCUUAAAUAUUAAUUUAGUAAAGAGAUUUUAUUUUUUAUGAAAAUGAGAAAAUUUUUAAUGAAGGCAAAAAAAAAUUAAUUUUCGGAUGUUUGAAAGUUGAAUGAAAAAUUUUUAAAAAUAAAAAAAAAAAUAAAUUUAAAAAAAAAUAAAAAAUAAUUAUAAAAAUAAAUUUAUAAAAUAAAAAAAAAAUAAUUUUUUUAAUUUUUUUUUUUCAACAAAAAUUAACAUUUCAAAAAUAAAAAUAAUUUUUAAAGUGCACUCGCUUUUUUUUUUAUUUUAUUUUUUUUUUUUAAAUUGGACUACUUUUAAAAAAAAAAAAUUUUUUUUUUUUUUUUAUAUAUAAAAGUACACAUUUAUGCACUAAAAAAAAAAAAANNNNNNNNNNAAAAUAAAUAACAUAACAACAAACCAAAUUUUAUGUAAUAUGAUAUUAAAAAGUUUGCUUACCAUGAACCACACAGUAUACAAAGACAUAACAUGUUUUUGUGAAUUAAUUAUUUUGAUAAUAAAAAAAGAUAAAGACACAUUAAUAAAUAUUUUACUACUGAUUAAAAACACUAUGCCAUGUGAUUUUUUUUAUCUUUUCUUAUCGAAAACUUUAUAUCAUUUAUUAAACUCGUCUUCUUAUAACAAAAGAAUAAACGACAUUUAUUUUUAUUAUUUAUUUGUGGGAUUACAUACAAAUAAGGAAAAACUUAUAUUACAUACUUUAGAAAUGUUAAACACUUUUAGUUUGCAAAAUGAUUGUUACGAUAUACUCCCAUUAUCUAGCUUACUGUACAAGCUACUGGAAAUGAAAAAAAUAAUUUAUGACAUAUACCUGUUUUCUAUUAGCGCGAAUAUAUUACAUAUAAUAUUAAAUAAUCAGAAGAAACACGAAUAUCUUACACACACUGAAGAGUUAAUAAAAAUAUGUUGUACUUUAUUAAAAAACACUAAAAGAAAAGAUGUGUUAUAUAUUUUUUUACUUUAUUCACACAAAAUAAUAGAUUUAAAUGAUGGUGUUCUUGAUAUAUUUUUAGUGGUAACCUUAUAAAAAUAAAGUUAAAAAAUAAAAAUAAAUAAAUAAAAUA
ensembl:lncRNA